UCCCACUAUAUCUCUGUCUCAACAUCUUCCCGUGUCCCGCUCUGCUUGGCUCUAAUGGAUGGAUGGCUGCUUCAAUCUCCAGGAAAAGCUUCAAAAGGGAGAGUGUCAGGGGCCAGGAGGGGUGUGGAGCUGGAGGACAGCAGGCAGGGGACCAAUGUUGGAUUGUUCCGGAGAGCCGAGUGGAAUGAGAGAGGGAGAAAGAGAGAGAGGAGGGUGUGUCGAAGGUCUGGAGGCAGGUAGAGGGUAUUUCAUCGCUGAAACAUCUCUGCAUCACAAAGUCUGACAGAUAGAACUGUCACUGACAGAAAUUCAUUCUCAGCUCUCCACUGCAUUUAAGAACUUUACUCCCAUCCAGUGGAAUGGCAGAAGACUUGUGCUUAGGAGGCAAGCAUGCUUAUGAUGUUGUAAUCAUUUGUCCCCUAAUAUUUGGGAACAAACAUCAGUGUUUGUCAAUGAAGCUUUCCUUGGAAGUGCUAAUUGGAUCUGGGAUUUCCGUUUUCUACACUCAAAUUAACUGAUGCAUCAAAAUGAUACUCAACUUGAAACAUUUCUGCCUCAUGAGAGAAAUGUCUUUCAAAACCAGUCAAGAAAAAGAAGACUUUUAAAGUCAAAUUUCAAAGACUUGUUGUCAAAGGUUUUAAAUUAACAUAGCAAUCAGGCAAAUUCAAAACUAUGCACAUUUUAGAACACUAGAUCAGAAGUCUGAGGAGGCUAAAGAUGAUUCAUAAUAACAGGAUGU
rnacentral:lncRNA from 1 species